ACCCAUUUCCUCAUCUCUCUCGAUCUCCAUGCUACCAACCAUCAUGAACACCAGCAGCUCCAACCAAUAACAACCACUUCCAAGACUCCUCACUGUUAAAAUCCAACACCAGUAGCCUUCAACCUCUUCUUCAUUUUGUUUUUCUCAAACACAAGUACACCUGAAACCACCAAAAAAGGUAUUAACUCCUCAUGGCAACACCCAACCUCCUUCAUCUAUGAUAACAGCAGCAACCACCUGAAGAAGAAAAGAAAAGGCAAACUGAGACGAAGAAAGAAUGAGAUCUAAAAAAAGAAAUAAAAGUAAAAGCUAUUGUUUGUGCAUUUUUUUUUCUGUCUUGCAGGUAAGGUGACACUCACUGUUGGCACAAGAUGGAAGAGAAGAAGAUUCUGCUUCAGAUCCACCUUGUUUUCCAUCUCUCCAGCAGCAUCACCGCGUGGUUUCAUCCAUUGCUAGUGGAAAUGGCACCUCGAUACACGCGUCGUCACAAUUCUUCCAACACUUAAAUCUUCUAGCACUAUUUUCGAGCUCCAACUUCUCCAAAUUAUUUUUGACCUCUGAAAGGUCUAUUUUGCAAUUUUUUAAAAUUAUUGUUAGAAAUUUGAUUUUUUGGUGUUUUGUAAACAUGUGUGAUUUUUAGAUGUGCAAG
rnacentral:lncRNA from 1 species